rnacentral:misc_RNA from 1 species
UAUUUGUUCUUUAACAAUGUGGUAAAAAGUAUAAGUAAAGAUUCCUUGAUUAAUUUAGGGUUAUUUUUAGUUUAGGUUGAGAUGUAUUUUUAUGUCUUGAUUGAUUAUUAGAAAUAAUUUUUAGUUUAUUUAAUUAACGAGUCUUGGUAAUUUUUGAAAACCGGUGUUGAGAUAUAGUUUUGAUUGGUAUUAGUUAAUAGAUUUUAGAUUUAUUGAUAUAAGACUUUUUGG